UUUAACGUAGUUUUUUUUAUAUUUUUUAUUUGUUAAAACUAGUCCACAAGCUCGCUUCACAAGAAAAAAUUAAAUUAUUUAAAAAAAAUUAAAGUAUAAGGACUAGUUUUAACAAAUUGAAAACAUAGAAAACUACUUUAAAAGAAAUAGAGAAGGAAGAAAAACAUAGGAAGAAGAAAAGGGGAAUGGAAAAUAAAGGAAAAAAAAAAGAAAGUUAAAAAGAACAUAAAAU
rnacentral:lncRNA from 1 species